rnacentral:tRNA from 1 species
UCCGUGGUGGCUCAGUGGUAAAGAAUCUGCUUGCAACGCAGGAGACCCGGGUUCAAUCCCUUGUUCUGGAA